rnacentral:miRNA from 1 species
CAAGCUCGCUUCUAUGGGUC